rnacentral:lncRNA from 1 species
CCGCCAAAGUUGUCCGGUGUUCGGUCAUUCAAACAUCACGAACAAGAAGCAACGCCUCGACACAGCGACUUAGAACCAACAGACCAACACAGAGUCAACACAACACAUUGGAAAAAGGCCAGACGUUUUUAUUUCUACAACUUCUUGAUUUAACCCAUCCUUUUUUUAAGUCACUAUGGCAAAUAGACAACUCGUCGCCAUCGCCGUCAUCGUGUCCCUCGCCCUCACUGUCGUCGACGCAAGGAACUUCCAUGCGAUCGGUGGUCCUCGACCAUGGGCUGCUGGAGGAGCCAAGCAGCAAUUAAGCGCUCUUCCCGGUGGUAAAGAUGGCAACCCAUUCAUCAAGAGACUGAGGCAGCUUGUCUUCCAACCAGAAGCAUUCUACGAUCCUGGAAUGGACCAGUUCGCCUUUGGAGAGGGUUUCAACGCCGAUGAAUAGAGAACUCAUCAACGACACAGACGAUAUUGAGUAAACAUUUAUUUUUUCAGGAAAUUACCCCCACCAGCCUAGCAUUGCAGUUAGAAUCCUGCAGACUCUAGCUUAUGAUGACGCCCUCUGUUGAUUACCUCAGCACCGGAAUGUGCACCAACCCUACCCAUGAAUCCAGAGUUCUGCUCCCACCCGAUUGCCUGUUUUAGUUGCAAACCACUAUUUUGUUCCAUCUCAUAAUACGUUCGUUAUGGAGACCAACUUGCAAGCACUUUCGUGUGGCAAAGUAUUGAAGCAAUACGACAAAAUGGUGAACUAACAGCUGUCAUCCAAAUAAACGGAGAUAUUUUACAGUAACUCAUUCGUGAAAGGGAAAUGGUACUUCGACAUAUAAAAGAAGGUGACAACACUCUUUUCCAGUAGUAAUGUGCAUCAUGCAAAUUUCGAGAGGUGGAGGAGAGAAAAAGGGUGUGUGUAUGUGUGUGUGUGAGAGAGAGAGAGAGAGAGAGAAAGAAAAAGAAAAAGGGGGAGAGAGAUCUCAAAUAUAGUAUUUUCCGGUUGGCCACUUCGAAUAUGCAUAAACUGCAAACAAAUUGGCAAGAUACAUUGCAUUGCUUUCAAAUUAGAUACUAUAUAAUCUCAUUUGAUGGAAUGAAAUAAUUACAAAACCGUGGACCAAAUCAAAAGAUGACGACGAUCAUUCAUUAUAAACAACCAUAAAACCACUAUUCAUUUUACGUGCAAUCUUUAUUUGUCCUCUAAUGUGCAAUGUUAUUUGAAGUUUAAAAUUAUUGUUAUACUCCUACACAAAGAUGAUGACUGCAAUUUGUCAUACCUGUAGAUGAAAGUAAUUUAUUUUCUUGUAAAUACUAAUAGUUUACCUGUGGCUUAUUUUCUACAUUCUGUAAAAAAAUAUUAAUUUUAUGAAUUCGCACGCAAUCCGCCAUGUGUAAUUAUGUAAGCACAUAAUUUAGAUGUGUGUUAUUGCUUAAGUUUGUAUAGGAAGAGAUAUAGCGCCAAUUGCGGCAUUUAUUGUUUGAUGAGUAAGUGUAUUUUAGAAACACCAGCCAUCCAUACUAAAUCCGCAGUGAUACUAGAAAACCUACAUAAUACCAGAUUGAUCAGAGAACAUUCUGAGCCCAACAAUUUUCUAUCUCACCUAGCCUUGUCUUAUCACAAUGACAAUAACCAAGUGUCAUGUAUAUAAUUCGUUACGAAGAUUUUAUCAAUUUGUUGGUCCAAAUUGUUUUCUCAUUGUAUUUAUUUAUUCAGUUAUAUAUGAAAUAAAUUAGUUCACAGCCCACACUGUGCUUACA